GUAAUUUUAACAAGCGAACAAAUGUACUUUGGGUCAUUAUAUUAAAAAAGCUUCUCUGUGUUUAUUUUUAGCAACUUCUUGUCAGUGUACACUUGUUUCGUAUGCCAUUUGCAGUGCCCUUCGGACUGAGUGGAUGCAUUUCCUGCGAUUUAAAAAGAUGACCGGAUUUGAGAUGUUUGCUUUGGCAGGACACUGCCCGGGGGAGCGGAACAUAUCCAGACAUAUCUGUGCUGUGAUAGUGUGGUGUUAUUCAGCUAACUCUCGCUGUCAAACAGUGACCUCCAGAGGACAGUUAGAAAACUGCAGCCUGGGAGUGUACUCUGCUGCUGCAAACUCAUCAUUUGAGAGAUAAGCGUAAACAAAUGCCCAGUGACUGCGAGGAAAAGUAUGUAUUUUUAUGUCCUAGAACACAAACUCUAGAUGUUUUCUCCAUCCCUCCUAUAGACACGUUAUACGAGGUCUCAUCAUCAGCUCCACUGAAAUCCAAAGAAUGACCUUCAUGAUCAAAAACUGUUUCCAGUGUUCGAUUAAGAAUAUAAUUUUACAUCAUGUGACAAAAAGUCUUAUCAAAUUUGUAAUUAAUGUAGAUUAAAAUGGCCUCAUCAUGAUACAUUUGAAGAAAUACAAAACCAAGUCUAUUUGAGUAAGAUACAUAAUAUAAUUAAUUCAGCAUAUGGUUAAAUAAAAUACAAUAUUAAUAAUGAAAAAAUGGCAAAGAAAAAUUAUGAUUAUUCUUAUAUUACUAUUAUAAGUAUUUUUGCAGCCUAUUUAAGCAGUUAUAUUGUCUUUAUUGUUAUAUAAUAAAGCUUGUGAAGACUGCAAAAUAAUGAUAAUAAUAAUAAUAAUAAGAGCAAGAAAAAGAGGUUUAUAAGAGGCAGAUGCACAUACAUACUGUGCAUUAAAACAUGCAUAAUAAUUAUUAUUAUUAUUGUUGUUGUUGUUGUUGUUAGUAUUUAAUCAGUUUUAGCAGUUAAAUUAUCAUUAUUGUUAUGUAUUAAAGCUUCUGUGAACUGCAAACAAUAAUAAUAGUAGUAAUAAUAAUAGUAAUUAUUAUUAUUAUGCAGUCUAUUUAACCAGUUCUAUUAUUCAUAUUGUUGUUGGUGUUAUUUUGCAGUCUACACAAGCUUUUAGAUACAAAAUCCUCUGUUUUCUUCUUUUCCAGAUCUGUCACUUUAAAGCCUCAUCUAAUAUGACUCUCUCUCUCUCUCUCUCGCUCGCUCUCUGUCACCUUUUCUCUCUUUUCCCCUUGGUGCGUCCUUUCUGAAAGGCAGCAGUAAUGUGAUUUCAGUAAUGUAAUUUGUCUGCGUGUGUGUGUGUGUGUGUGUGUGUGUGUGUGUGUGUGUGUGUCGGUGUGCGGACAGUGAGGAGGAACCUGAUCCAGGCUGGGUGAUUUAUGAUGUGUGUUCCACCGUUUUUCUAAAACACGUUUCUCUUCAUUUAUUUUUAAUCUUCAGAGCGAUUAGUUCUCCCUGUCAACUGCUAUACAGCGUCUGAGCGGAGCGUUAAUGAGAGAGCGAGAGACAGAUGCACAGACAGGUAUUUACUCCACAUGAAAACAUGCAGAAUAGAAUGGAUAAGAGCAAACAGUGCAUUUGAUUUUGUCCAAGAUUUGGGGUUGAGUCCAUCAGCACUGGAGAGAGAUGUCACCUCAUAUGACUCUGAAUGAGCAUUCAGUCAAAUCAGAGGUCAGGCUCAAAGCAGCCAAUUGAAAUCACUCCCUGCAUUUCCAUGGCAACAUGCUCCAUAUAUGACUACACUUACACGCCUUGAUAGCUUUAUUUCCUUUACUCAUAUUCUUAUUUCCUUCAAUUCCUUCCACUCACUCUGUUUUUCCUGCAAA
ensembl:lncRNA